UACAGAGGGGGCAAGCGUUGUUCGGAAUUACUGGGCGUAAAGGGCGCGUAGGCGGCCUUCUAAGUCGAACGUGAAAUCCCUGGGCUCAACCCAGGAACUGCGUCCGAUACUGGAAGGCUUGAAUCCGGGAGAGGGAUGCGGAAUUCCAGGUGUAGCGGUGAAAUGCGUAGAUAUCUGGAGGAACACCGGUGGCGAAGGCGGCAGUCCUGGACCGAGAUUGACACUGAUGAGCGAAAGCUAGGGAGCAAACGGGA
rnacentral:rRNA from 1 species